CAGUAAUUCCCCCUGACAGCAAAAUCAGACUCUGCAAAGAGUGCCGUCGGAAUGUACUCCGUGACUUUUUAAACAUCUGCAGCUGUGUGGAGGAGCCAGAAGAAAGAGUGGCGAUUUAUGAACCAUUUUGCAAGACAGAAAUAAAAUGUUAAGCACAUGAUGACCUAGUA